rnacentral:rRNA from 1 species
UACGUAGGGUGCGAGCGUUUGUCCGGAAUUAUUGGGCGUAAAGAGCUUGUAGGCGGUUUGUCGCGUCUGCUGUGAAAAUCCGGGGCUCAACCCCGGACUUGCAGUGGGUACGGGCAGACUAGAGUGUGGUAGGGGAGACUGGAAUUCCAGGUGUAGCGGUAGAAAUGCGUAGAUAUCUGGAGGAACACCGGUGGCGAAGGCGGCAUCCUGGACCGGUAGUUGACGCUGAUGCGCGAAAGCCAGGGGAGCAAAGCGGGG